GUACCACUGCAGCACAUGAUUGCUGUGUGAGGGAAGGUGCCCGUGUCCGUUCACGUCCGUCCGUCCGACAGCCUCCUCUCCUGGCCAAAUCAUGGGCAGGGAGCGCAAUGGAGAGAAGAGCGCCGCCAAAGGCAGCAGCGCGUCGGCAGCGAAGCAGCCUCGGCCGCCUCGAGGGACGGGCGACGCCCCCCCACUUUCAUCUCCGGCACCCCGGCGGCGACCAACGUUUCAAAGUGCGAGAGCGUUUCCACCCAGCACCAUGGCUUCGGUGACCGCAUCGACCUCAUUGCAGUCUUCUGCGCCGCCGAAAGGCCUACCGCGCCGCAGCCGCUCCCCCGUCUUCUGGGGUGCCUUAAAAGAGGCGCCCCUCUACGCCGGCCCGCUGGGCGAGGCCGUUGGCACAGUUCCUGUGGGCGCCGUCUUACUCGAGGCGUCUCGAUACCGCGACGUGUUUGGCGGCUGGUGGAUCAGCACUCGGUGCGACGAUGGCACGCUAGGGUGGAUCGCCUACUCAGACUCGAUUGAAACGACAACGACUGAGGAUGCCGGCGCUGCACCAUUUUGGCUCCGCGUGUACGACACCCGUGCUACCCCCGCUGCGGCCUCUGACAGCGUCGAGGCGCCGUCCCCGCGAGCUGCGCUACCGAGUACGCAGGUGUGCUGGCACAGCGUCCUGCCGUCCGUUUCCUGCGCGGACUUCUCUCGCACUGCAGCAGCUCAUUUUCUGUUUCGCGAUGCGGAGCUGUAUGCCUACUACUGGGAUACGAUUCAUCCCGAAGAGAAGGCAGCGCGGGAUUGGAACUUUGAGUAUCAACGAGCGGUGGAGCUGCGCUGGCUCUGGGCGGACUUUUUCCGCCCCGCUGCGCCCGCCUCCUCUAUUCUUUCUUCAGCGCCACCUGAGACAGCACGGCACGCCCAACUGGACGCGCUCAUUGCCGCGUUUCGGUCCGAGGUUGAGCGCAUCGUAGUGCAGAUAUGGAAGGAGGCGACGAUGCCGCCGCCGAGCCGCCAGGUUGCGGCACACCCGCAAUUUCCAGAUCAAGUGUACUUUGACGGCGGUAUUCUGCUGCGGCGCUGCGUGGACACGGCGGAUGGCGUCCUUGGUGGCGAUGAGAUGGCAAUGAAGUGCGGGCACGCCAUCUAUCGCAACCAGGAGAUGCUCGCUGUUGUGGCACCACGGCACACUCUUCAUGUGCCGCUUCACGCCUGCUGCACGUUUGGUGGCUUUUCCUUUUUGUGCUCUAC
rnacentral:misc_RNA from 1 species